GCGUCGAGCGGCGGACGGGUGAGUAAUGCAUAGGAAUCUGCCCGGUAGUGGGGGAUAACCUGGGGAAACCCAGGCUAAUACCGCAUACGCCCUACGGGGGAAAGCAGGGGAUCUUCGGACCUUGCGCUAUCGGAUGAGCCUAUGUCGGAUUAGCUAGUUGGUGAGGUAACGGCUCACCAAGGCUGCGAUCCGUAGCUGGUCUGAGAGGAUGAUCAGCCACAUCGGGACUGAGACACGGCCCGAACUCCUACGGGAGGCAGCAGUGGGGAAUAUUGGACAAUGGGCGAAAGCCUGAUCCAGCCAUGCCGCGUGUGUGAAGAAGGCCUUCGGGUUGUAAAGCACUUUCAGUGAGGAAGAAAGCCUUGAGGUUAAUACCCUCGAGGGAGGACAUCACUCACAGAAGAAGCACCGGCUAACUCCGUGCCAGCAGCCGCGGUAAUACGGAGGGUGCGAGCGUUAAUCGGAAUUACUGGGCGUAAAGCGCGCGUAGGCGGCUUGAUAAGCCGGUUGUGAAAGCCCCGGGCUCAACCUGGGAACGGCAUCCGGAACUGUCAGGCUAGAGUGCAGGAGAGGAAGGUAGAAUUCCCGGUGUAGCGGUGAAAUGCGUAGAGAUCGGGAGGAAUACCAGUGGCGAAGGCGGCCUUCUGGA
rnacentral:rRNA from 1 species